UGUUUGAUAGAAUGCCUGAGAGAAUGCCGAAAUAUCUAUGCAUGUUAGAGCUCAAGAUCAAUUCACAUUUUGUCCUGUAUUGGUUGGAUUUGGUUUAAUAUUAGUAUUUUCUCUAUGUUUCCACGCAACUUGAUGGAAAAAUCCCCUCGAGUCGUAUGCAUUCUUUGCGUCGGAGAGCUCCCUUUCGGAAACCCAUCCAUCACGACAUACCAGCGGUUCGAGGCCGC
rnacentral:lncRNA from 1 species